rnacentral:rRNA from 1 species
GCCCCAAUAGCUAGCCCACCCAAAUAAAAGCAACAACCAAUAUUAAUAAUCCCAAAGACACAAACACCAAUUAAACAAAACAUUUUUCCACCCUAGUACGGGAGACAGAAAAGGUCCUCAGGCGCCAUAAAAAGAGUACCGCAAGGGAAAGCUGAAAGAGAGAUGAAAAAGACCAUCAAAGGCAUAAAAAGCAGAGAUUAAUCCUCGUACCUUUUGCAUCAUGACUUAGCUAGUACCCCUUAAGCAAAGCGUCCUUUACGUUUAAGUCCCCGAAACUGUGCGAGCUACUCCAAGACAGCCUAUUGCAGGGCACACCCGUCUCUGUGGCAAAAGAGUGGGAAGAACUUUGAGUAGAGGUGACAAACCUACCGAGCCCAGUUAUAGCUGGUUGCCUAAGAAAUGAAUAGAAGUUCAUCCUCUUAAUUUCUUUAACCAAAAAGGUAAAACACCACAAGAACAAGAGAAUAACAAGAGAGAUAUUCAAAGGAGGGACAGCUCCCUUGAAAAAAGAUACAACUUUAAAAGAAGGCUAAAGAUCAAAUAAUAUAAGGAAAUAUACUAGAGUAGGCCUAAAAGCAGCCACCCCCACAAAAAGCGUUAAAGCUUAAGUAUACCCCACCUAUAAUACCAAUAAAACCAUCUAAAACCACCCUUUUUAUUAGGCCCUCCUAUGCAAUCAUAGGAGAGAUAAUGCUAACAUGAGUAAUAAGAGAGCCAAGGCUCUCUCCUUGCAGCUGUAUAUACCAGAACGAACCAUUCACUGGAAAUUAACGCACCCAAUAAUAGAGGGUAUUGGACAAUACUAAUUAAACCUAGAAAACCACCCAACCAUCAGCGUUAAACCCACACAGGCCUGCUCAUAGGAAAGACAAAAAGAAAAAGAAGGAACUCGGCAAACAUUGGCCUCGCCUGUUUACCAAAAACAUCGCCUCUUGCUCCACCAGUAUAAGAGGUCCCGCCUGCCCUGUGACAAAAGUUUAACGGCCGCGGUAUUUUGACCGUGCGAAGGUAGCGUAAUCACUUGUCUUUUAAAUAAAGACCUGUAUGAAUGGCAUAACGAGGGCUAUGCUGUCUCCUUUUUCACGUCAAUGAAAUUGAUCUGCCCGUGCAGAAGCGGGCAUUAAUACAUAAGACGAGAAGACCCUAUGAAGCUUUAAACAACAAGUAGGCCACGUUAAGCUCCCUCAAUAAAGAGGACAAAACAAAACGGACUCUGCUUCUUUGUUUUUGGUUGGGGCGACCGCGGAGAAAAAUUAAUCCCCCGCGUGGAAUGGGCAUUCCCUUGAAGUAAGACCAGCAGGCCUAAAAUCCAGAAGAUCUGACCAAAAGAUCCGGCAACGCCGAUCAACGGACCCAGUUACUCUAGGGAUAACAGCGCAAUCCCCUUUUAGAGCUCACAUCGACAAGGGGGUUUACGACCUCGAUGUUGGAUCAGGACCUCCUAAUGGUGCAGCCGCUAUUAAGGGUUC